AAUUGAAGAACUUCUUCAGGUAAAGAUUAAUCUGUAUUACACAGCUUUGUAUAUCCUAGCAUAUGUAGGGAGUGAAAAACAAGGGUUUUGGAUCCACCAGUGUUUGGCUGUGCAUAUUGGUCUUCAUAGAAACCUUCCUCAGGAUGAUGAUAAUGAUGAUGAUGUGAUAGUGACUGUUUUGAUGAAAAUGUUUCAUCUCCUUCAAUACAUCCUGGUAAGGUAUCUAGUAUAUGUGCAGAAGGGGCA
rnacentral:misc_RNA from 1 species